rnacentral:rRNA from 1 species
AGCGAACGCUGGCGGCAGGCCUAACACAUGCAAGUCGAACGAACCCUUCGGGGUUAGUGGCGGACGGGUGAGUAACACGUGGGAACGUGCCUUUAGGUUCGGAAUAACUCAGGGAAACUUGUGCUAAUACCGAAUGUGCCCUUCGGGGGAAAGAUUUAUCGCCUUUAGAGCGGCCCGCGUCUGAUUAGCUAGUUGGUGAGGUAAAGGCUCACCAAGGCUACGAUCAGUAGCUGGUCUGAGAGGAUGACCAGCCACAUUGGGACUGAGACACGGCCCAAACUCCUACGGGAGGCAGCAGUGGGGAAUCUUGCGCAAUGGGCGAAAGCCUGACGCAGCCAUGCCGCGUGGAUGAUGAAGGUCUUAGGAUUGUAAAAUCCUUUCACCGGUGAAGAUAAUGACUGUAGCCGGAGAAGAAGCCCCGGCUAACUUCGUGCCAGCCGCCGCAGUAAGAC